GCUUCAGCUUCUAGAGAUACACACAAACACAAAGACACAAUGGCACACACACAAAAAAAAGGGUUCCAGAGCACGUGGUCCUAGCUGAAAGUGGGAGGGGGAAGGAGAAGAGGCGGCGAAGGGGCGGGGCUUCAAGGAGUAGGCGGAGCCCGAUAGGAAGCCAGAAGUCCCGCCCCCCCCCGCCUCUCCCCUCCCACUGGCUGGAUCUCCGCGAUUCCCGCUUCGCCCGGCGAGAACCGGCGCUGGAUCCCUCGGGAGAAGCUUCAGGGUCCCGAUCGGGGCAGGAGACCAGUGAGGAGGUGGCCGUGAACUUCACAGAGGAGAAAGAGACUCUGUUCUUGGAUUGGGAUCCACCAACCUUUGGCCAGGACUCCAUUCCAGAAAAUUUGGAAAUUGUGGCGUGGAUGGAGAAGCAGCUUCCUGCACAAAGGGCCAAUCGAUUAAGGAGAAACCAAAUCAGUCAGGAGUGAGGGUCAUACCUGGCCUUGACCCAGAGGCUUCUUCAUUGUAACUUUAAAGCAGAUAAUAGAUUGAGACCAAAGAUUUACCUACAAGCCAAUUAAAAACAGAUAAUAGAUAAUCAGCACAAGGCAGCAGCCGCCAGAAAGGAUGGAGCGUGAGAAAGUCUUGGAUCCCCCAUCAGAUACAUGACCGAAUCUCAUUUUAUGACAUUUUUUGUGGUCAGUAAACAAAAAGGAGUCCUAAGUAUAAAGCAAAUCUGGUCGCAAAAGCCAGCCAGUUGCCAAGUGCUCAUAAUGUUGUCAGAUAACGUGGGUAUGGUGGGGGGGGGGGACAACAUUUUACAAUGGCCAGAAUUGUUUUAUGGGCCAUCAAUGUUUGCCGUAAGUUGAGGACUGUCUGUAAUAGAAUCUUGAUAAGCCUUGGAGCAUUCGCAAAAGGGGGUCAUUGUAUAAAAUACUUGGAACAUUGCAAAAUACUGACUUCACUGAGACCUCUGGAGACCCCAAAGGAUGCACAAGAAAAAGAAAUUGUGCAUUUGGUGUGUGGGAAAUAUUUUUCUGGACUGUCUACCUGGGUCGAGGUAAAAAUGCCCUCAGAAACCCUCCAGGUGCUCGGAGGGCUGGAGAUUCUUUCUGCAUGACAAACCACAUCAGAGCUUGGUGUGUGGAAAAUCUUUUUCCUUGAAAUGAGACAAUUGUUGUCCUGCAUUUGUGAGUCCCCUCAGAGAAGGCCCCUAGAAAUCUUUCUGGCAUAGAAAAGGUUUUAUCCUGAAAUCUUUUCAAAAUAACACAAAAGCAGGUCGUAAUUGUGGUAUAGUAAGGAAAAAUCUUCCUGGCCUAUUGAUAUUAAAGAAAGCUUGUCAUCUUUUUAAUUUGACCUGUCAGAAAUGGUGUAGCGUCUCCUGCUUGGGUGGCGGGUUGGACUAGAUGACCUACAAAGUCCCUUCCAACUCUGUUAACCUGUUAAUUUAGAUUGUAUUUCAAUUUCUUUAUGGAUAUUCUUGUUAUUCUCUUACUGUGAUAUUUCAUCAUUAUUCAUAUACCAUGUUACAUUAAAUGUUCUUACUUGUUUCUUUCAAUCGGGAACCAAUUACCCAAUUUUCCAUAGAGAGAUCAGUUCAAAGAGUUUAAAUUUAAUGCAAGGUUUUUGUGUGUUUGGUCUCAUUCGAGUGAUUGGUCUCAUUCGAGACAAUGACGAAUCCGCAUACAGACGAGAGGUCGAACGAUUAGCCUUGUGGUGCAACCAAAACAAUCUGGAACUGAACACACUCAAAACCGUAGAAAUGGUGGUAGACUUUAGGAAAAACCCUUCCAUACUUCCACCUCUCACAAUACUUGACAACACAGUAUCAACAGUAGAAACCUUCAAAUUUCUGGGUUCUAUCAUAUUGCAAGAUCUCAAAUGGACAGCUAACAUCAAAAACAUCAUUAAAAAAGGACAACAAAGAAUGUUCUUUCUGCGCCAACUCAGUAAGCUCAAACUGCCCAAGGAGCUGCUGAUCCAAUUCUACAGAGGAAUUAUUGAGUCUGUCAUUUGCACCUCUAUAACUUUCUGGUUCAGUUCUGCAACCCAACAAGAAAGACACAGACUUCAGAGGAUAAUUAGAACUGCAGAAAAAAUAAUUGCUACCAACUUGCCUUCCAUUGAGGACCUGUAUACUGCACGAAUCAAGAAGAGGGCCGUGAAAAUAUUUGCAGAUCCCUCGCAUCCUGGACAUAAACUGUUUCAACUCCUACCCUCAAAACGAUGCUAUAGAGCACUGCACACCAGAACAACUAGACACAAGAACAGUUUUUUCCCGAAGGCCAUCACUCUGCUAAACAAAUAAUUCCCUCAACACUGUCAGACUAUUUACUGAAUCUGCACUACUAUUAAUCGUUUCAUAGUUCCCAUCACCAAUCUCUUUCCACUUAUGACUGUAUGACUAUAACUUGUUGCUGGCAAUCCUUAUGAUUUAUAUUGAUAUAUUGAUCAUCAAUUGUGUUGUAAAUGUUGUACCUUGAUGAACGUAUCUUUUCUUUUAUGUACACUGAGAGCAUAUGCACCAAGACAAUUCCUUGUGUGUCCAAUCACACUUGGCCAAUAAAAAAUUCUAUUCUAUUCUAUUCUAUUCUAUUCUAUUCUAUUCUAUUCUAUUCUAUUCUAUUCUAUGUUCACCAAGGACCCCCCAUUUCCACCCUGAGCUCUUCUUCCUGAUUGAUUCUAAGGCUCCUGGCAUUUCUGGAGCUGGAGAAGAGGGGAGGGGAUCCUGAUCCAGAGGAAGAGCAGCUCUGAGGGCAAUUCAGUUUCCCCUCUAGUUAGGUGCACCUCUUCCCUGGUGCUACAGUGGGAUCCACUUCUGGGGAUCCAGGUGUCCUCAUCAAGGGGCUCACAAGGGGCAGGAAGAUGACUGCAGCCCUCCUGAAGUAGCCAAUGGGAGUCCGGCUGAUCCCAGCUUCUGAGCACAUCAGCAAUGAUGUCACAAAAGGGAUUUCUAUGUGAUCAAGAGGGAAGAGACCACUUCCCAAGUAAAACAGCUAGGAAAACAUUGUGCUGCUUAGGGCUGGGAAGAAGAUACCAUUUAAAGGAUUAACAGAGUGGGAAGGGACCUUGCAGGUCAUCUAAUCCAAUCCCCUGCCGAAGCAGGAGACCCUACAUCUGCCUCUACCUAGGAUCGAACUCACAUCCUCCUGAUUGUGAGGCAAGAGCUCCACGGAGAGAAUUAACCACGGUUAAAGGCAAGUGAUGAGUUAAGGUGGGUCUCAUUUACUGAAGCCAAUGAGUCUCUGAGUUUCAGUGUUUCCCCGGAGACGUCUCAUUACCCAACUAGGUAACAUCAUCAGGGCGGCAACCAACCACCAAGCUCAGGGAGCCCCAAGGACAUCUCAACUCUUACGGGGCCUUUUUGCUCAACUCUUUCACACAGUGUUGAAAUGUAACAAUUUUUGCUUCUGGUUCUGUGAGCUUGGCUUGGUGGGUGUGGCUUGGUGGUGGGGUCAUGUGACUGGGUGGGCAUGGCCAACUUUUUUUUAAAAAAAAAACUUUUUAAAGCAUUUUUUACUACCUAUUCGCCUGGACACAAACACACAAUCACAGAAACACACAAAGGGUUUCAGAGCAGGUGGUCCUAGCUGAAAUCAGGAGAGAUAAGGGGCGAGGCUUCAAGGGGUAGGUGGCGUCCGAGAUGAAGCUAGAAUCCUGCCCCGUCGCUCCCCUCUCACUGGCUGGAUCUCACUUCCCUUCGCCUGGCGAGGAUCUGCGCUGGAUCCAUUGAGAGAGAGGCUUCUGAUUUAAAUUCUAGGAGCUGAAGUCCCCCCAUCAUAAAAGAUGACCAUUCCCCAUCAACACCCAGGACAUCCAGUAUUAUUGAAUAGAAUUCUUGAUGAAUUUUUCUUUUAUGUACGCUGAGAGAUUAUGCACUAAGACAAAUUCCUUGUGCGUCCAAUCACACUUGGCCAAUAAAAAAUUCUAUUCUAUCCAUUCUAUUCUAUAUGGCCUAGUGGUUAAAGGCCCUGCAUUAGAAAGCCUGAGGCCAUGGGUUCCAGUCCUGCCUUGGCCAUGAAAGCCAGCUUGGGUGACCUUGGGCUACUCACUUUCUCAGCCUAACACACCUCACAGGGUUGUUGUGAGGCAAAUAAGUAAAGGAACAUGUGUGGGAUACGUUCACUGUGUGUUAUGUUAUUUGUAAAAAUAAUAAAGGUGGAUAUGAAUAAAUAAAAAUAAAAAAUCAUUUCCAUUUCACAGUGGCUUGGCUGCCUUGUUUCCCCCUUGUGUUGUGUUGCCUCCAUGGGAAGAAGGAGGAGAUCUGGGUUCCUCCCCCAAACUUUCCUCCUUCCUUCCUGUCUUGGCGUCUCUGGGGAUUAGGAAAUCCCGCUUCCAGCCUGCAGAGAGGGACACUCUUCCCAUGGGCAGAGGAACCCUCCACACCGAAGCCCAUCGGAGGAACGGAGGAGG